rnacentral:rRNA from 1 species
CAGUCGCCACGGGAAUACAGAGGUCUCAAGCGUUGUUCGGAUUCAUUGGGCGUAAAGGGUGCGUAGGUGGCGGUGUAAGUCUAACGUGAAAUCUCGGGGCUCAACCUCGAAAUUGCGUCGGAUACUGCAUUGCUAGAGGAUUGUAGAGGAGAGUGGAAUUCAUGGUGUAGCAGUGAAAUGCGUAGAUAUCAUGAGGAAGACCAGUUGCGAAGGCGACUCUCUGGGCAAUUCCUGACACUGAGGCACGAAGGCUAGGGGAGCAAACGGGAUUAGAUACCCCGGUAGUCCCUGUCUCUUAUAC